UAGAUUCUCUGUUUAUCAUUACAAGUGCUGUGCAUGAGUGUGAAGCUAUGACUGACUAUAGCUCAUAUGAAUGAUGAAGUUAUUGAAAGCUGUAACACCUCCUGUCCUGCGAAGGGUGCUAGAGUCACUUCAGUUAGCACAGCAACCUGAUGUGCUGGGGGUUGAGUUUAAAGGGGAACUUUCACGCGCUCGUCUCUGUGCUGUUAUCGGUACCUGUAUUGUCUGUAUUUAUUGUUUAAAUACAGAGACCUGAAAUAAAGUAGUAAAAUGACUAAACUGGAUCGUCUGAACACUUUCAUGACCGAGCGCUUGAUGGCUGCUGUGAAGGAGAUCAUCUUCACAGUCGGUAGAACGGUGCGGGAGUAUGAGGAGGAAACGGAGCGAAUCAGGAGCGAAAACAAGCGACUGAAAGAAAUGUUGCGAGACUCUGGGUGUUUCAGUGAACAAGCAAAUGCUGCUCCUGUGCAGUCUUAUCAGCCCUUCUCUCCUGGGCAGCCCGGAUGGAUCUGCAGCCAGAAUGAGGAGCUAGAACCCGUUGAAGAGAUCCAGCAGGACCAAAGCCAGAGGAUCGGUGAACAACACCCGUUCAUAAAACCGGAAAAGCCUGAGUACUCUGUCGAUGUUUACAGGGAAUCCGUAGCUUUGCCAUCAAAAGCCACCUACGACGAGGGCUCACACAUGUGCGCUGAUCACACCAACACAAAUCCUAUUGAGGAUGAAAUGACAAACUGUCAUUUCUCAUCUAAAAUCAAAGUUGAAUUCAUGAACUCCAGCUUGUGUUCAGGCGAUGCAAUGGGAAGCACUGAAAAUGCAUAUCAGAGCUGGUCGCCAAACAGCCCAGAUUUGCCUUUAGGGACAUCGGAUAUCUACAGAGCACAGCACCCAAACCAGCCAACAUACGCUAACAGCGAAGCUCCUGCCACAGUAUCUCAGCAUAACAGCUCAUCUCAUGAUGCCAAUCACGUUUCAUAUCACAACAUAUUAUGUACAAACAGGGCUUACUGUAGCAGUAAAUGCUGUGAAAUGCAAAAGAGGACAAUAGCAAAAUCAAGCCCUGUGUGGAAGUAUUUCUCUCUAAAAGAGGGAGACUGUAGCAAAGCAGUGUGCCUUAUGUGUAGGGCCGUCAUAUCUCGUGGUCGCAAAGAAUACACAACGUCGGCUCUUCUAAAGCACCUUCGGAUGAAACAUGGUAAAUGUUGAUGUUAUCAUUUGUUCUGAUUUAUUUAUAUA
rnacentral:lncRNA from 1 species